rnacentral:rRNA from 1 species
AGGAAUGCUAAUACCGCAUACGCCCUACGGGGGAAAGCAGGGGAUCUUCGGACCUUGCGCUAAUAGAUGAGCCUAAGUCAGAUUAGCUAGUUGGUGGGGUAAAGGCCUACCAAGGCGACGAUCUGUAGCGGGUCUGAGAGGAUGAUCCGCCACACUGGGACUGAGACACGGCCCAGACUCCUACGGGAGGCAGCAGUGGGGAAUAUUGGACAAUGNGCGCAAGCCUGAUCCAGCCAUGCCGCGUGUGUGAAGAAGGCCUUUUGGUUGUAAAGCACUUUAAGCGAGGAGGAGGCUACUUGGAUUAAUACUCUAGGAUAGUGGACGUUACUCGCAGAAUAAGCACCGGCUAACUCUGUGCCAGCAGCCGCGGUAAUACAGAGGGUGCGAGCGUUAAUCGGAUUUACUGGGCGUAAAGCGUGCGUAGGCGGCUUCUUAAGUCGGAUGUGAAAUCCCUGAGCUUAACUUAGGAAUUGCAUUCGAUACUGGGAAGCUAGAGUAUGGGAGAGGAUGGUAGAAUUCCAGGUGUAGCGGUGAAAUGCGUAGAGAUCUGGAGGAUAUCGAUGGCGAAGGC